AGAGUUUGAUCCUGGCUCAGAAUCAACGCUGGCGGCGUGCCUCAGACAUGCAAGUCGAACGAUUAAAGCUCUCUUCGGAGAGUGCAUAGAGUGGCGCACGGGUGAGUAACACGUAAGUAAUCUACCUUCGAGUGGGGAAUAACAGUCGGAAACGACUGCUAAUACCGCAUAAUGCAGCGGCAUCGCAAGAUGACAGUUGUUAAAGAUUUAUCGCUUGAAGAGGAGCUUGCGGCAGAUUAGCUAGUUGGUAAGGUAAUGGCUUACCAAGGCUACGAUCUGUAACCGGUCUAAGAGGACGGUCGGUCACACUGACACUGAAUAACGGGUCAGACUCCUACGGGAGGCAGCAGUCGGGAAUUUUGGGCAAUGGGGGAAACCCUGACCCAGCAACGCCGCGUGAAGGAUGAAGUAUUUCGGUAUGUAAACUUCGAAAGAAUAGGAAGAAUUAAUGACGGUACUAUUUAUAAGGUCCGGCUAACUACGUGCCAGCCGCCGCGGUAAUAC
rnacentral:rRNA from 1 species